UGCGUAGGCGGUGACAUAAGUUGGAUGUGAAAUCCCGGGGCUUAACCCCGGAACUGCAUUCAAUACUGCGUUGCUAGAGUAUUGGAGAGGAGAUUGGAAUUCACGGUGUAGCAGUGAAAUGCGUAGAUAUCGUGAGGAAGACCAGUGGCGAAGGCGAAUCUCUGGACAAUUACUGACGCUGAGGCACGAAGGGCUAGGGGAGGCAAACGGG
rnacentral:rRNA from 1 species